CUCUAUGUGUGGCAGCGUAUUGAACGUUUGCUGCUAGCUCGAACAGGAAAUAAAGACGACCCACCACAACUCUGUCCGCGAGGAACCGCAGGAGUAGCACUUGGAUUAGGAAUAGGAGUAGGAAUAGAAACAAUAAUCGUCGUCAGGCCGUAAAAUUUGAAUAGCAAUAAAGCCAGCAAGAAUAGCAGCAAGGGAGCAGCAGCAAAAGGAUAAGAAACGUUGCGCGCUCCACAUCGUCGUCCAAAUGCCAGCUGGACCAGCCUUAUUACGCCCGGCCCAAUAGAGCCGCCGGAACAGGAGCGCACGCAGUAUCUGGAUAAUCUGUUGAGAAACAUUGCUUAGCAUGAAGCAACGGAGUACACAACAGCAUUAUCCAUCAAUCAGCGGAUUAUUCUUAUUAUUAUCAAGGAGAAGCGCAGAAACAAUCACAUCAGCAGGAGAGGCACUGGAAUCCACCGAAGCAGAAGCAAUAGCAACGACUGAAGGAGUCGGUGCCGGACUUGGAGUCGGACUAGCCGAAGGCGGAACUGGUGGCCUUGAGAAAUUCGCCAGAAGGAAGCAGAGGACUUGCCGAAAGUUAGCCACAUAAUAGGACUAGUCCACGAGCGGGCGAUCGCCGCACCAGAGAGGAGACGGACGGAGACGGCCCCGGGCGUGUGUUUUUGUCGCGUGUGUGGUGUGUGUGUGUGUCGGCCGUCUCAGUCAAGCAUAAUCAGCAUCAGCAACAGCAACA
rnacentral:sRNA from 1 species